rnacentral:rRNA from 1 species
UACGAAGGGAGCUAGCGUUGUUCGGAAUCACUGGGCGUAAAGCGCACGUAGGCGGAUUUGCCAGUCAGGGGUGAAAUCCCGGGGCUCAACCUCGGAACUGCAUUUGUGACUGCAUGGCUGGAGUGCGGCAGAGGGGGAUGGAAUUCCGCGUGUAGCAGUGAAAUGCGUAGAUAUGCGGAGGAACACCGAUGGCGAAGGCAAUCCCCUGGGCCUGCACUGACGCUCAUGCACGAAAGCGUGGGGAGCAACAGG